UACGGAGGGCGCAAGCGUUAUCCGGAUUCACUGGGUUUAAAGGGUGCGUAGGCGGAAAUUUAAGUCAGUGGUGAAAGCCCCGAGCUCAACUUGGGAACUGCCAUUGAUACUGAUUUUCUUGAGUGUGGUUGAAGUGGGCGGAAUAUAACAUGUAGCGGUGAAAUGCUUAGAUAUGUUAUAUAACACCGAUUGCGAAGGCAGCUCGCUAAACCAUAACUGACGCUGAGGCACGAAAGCGUGGGGAGCGAACAGG
rnacentral:rRNA from 1 species